UCCCAGGCCCAUUUUUCUUCGUCCCAGCCCCACAUUCGUUUCUUCCUCGCUAAGAACUCAGAAACAUCGGUGUCAAUUCUUCCCUCACUCGCCGGAUUAACGCGAUUUUCACACCCUGUCGUUUUCCUCUAACGUCUCCAAAGUGGAAAUUCAACUGUACCAAGCGCGUGAGUGCCGAGUGGGAAACCUAGUACCCUGCACUCUUUUGUCACCUUCCUCUUCGACCUCGCUCAUACGUUCCGUGCAGCUGGAUCUCGUCCUUCGCUCAAGUGGAUGAGUGUCACGUCAAGUUCAAGGAGGACGGAUCGAUCCCAGCCGUCCAUCUCUCUCCAAAUCCGUUGGGCAAGAAGAAUCGUUUCAGAAUAUUCUCUAAAUUGGAGGGGAUAACGUUUUGUGGCUGAGACAAUUCUACCCUUUCACCCCAUUUUUGAAAACAAAAAUACCCUUCCUAUAUAAGGUCUGUUGGGAAAUUAGAGCAGGGGAGGUUUUUCGAAAAAAGAAUUUUCUAUUUUCUUAAAGAUAUUUGAAAAGAGCAAUAGGUGUAGGCAUAUAAAAAAUUUAGGAUAAUAGAAAUUUUGGAAGAUUUUUGCUUUAAUUGUAUUUUUAUUUCCAGUUUAGGGUGAGUACGUGAUACUAGUGCAGAUGUUGUGAUUUUUCUGUUAUUUAAUGGCUCAAUGGUUGUGUCUUGUGUUUGUUAUCAUGUUAAUUUGAGCUUUGGAGUAGCCCAGAUACCAAGUUUUCUUCUCUCUUUUCUGUUUUGCUUUUGUUUCCUUUUUUUUUUCUUAAAAGUUUUCUUGCGAAUCCGUAGUGUACUGUCCCUUUGGAAUCGUUUGCUUUCCUUGCUUUAGAAUCUUCUCUUCAAUGUUGGUUCUAACUUCUAUGGGCAUUCUGAGCAUUAAGCACGAUCUGAGUAUUAAUGGAAGUCGCUUUAGUAUUAUAUAUUGGUCGUUAUGUGCAUUGGUUCGAGUUCGUAUCUAUGGAGUUAAUUAGUUUGCUGCUUGGUGUUGUUGGUUGUUUGACAUUCAGUUCUCUUGCUUGGUUCUCAUCAAUAAACCUCUUGCUUUUUUAAUCUUGUUAUUUAAGCUUAUAAAAAUGAUCAGGAAGUUCUGUAAUUUGCUUCAACAAGUCCUCAAAGCACUGUCAUUACUGCUUUUCUUUUUCUUAAGUUAGGACUAUGUGACUGUUUUAUCUUGAUAUCUUCUCUUCUCUUGACUUCUCCAGCUUAAAGGAAAUCAUGACCUUCCUUGUUUGGAGCAUAUUUUAUUUGCUAAUAAUUUAUGUGUUGUUGCUACCUUUUGCACAAUGUAGUCACUGCCUUAGACCUUGGUUCCUUUGUGUCUAUUGCUAUUUUUGAAUUCUCUGUAGUGCAUGGAGUGUGCAAUGAAGUCUUUCAAUAUCAUCAAUGGUGCCUAGUUCACAUGCUAUUCCUCCUUGUUUCUGUACAUUAGGGUAGAUUUAGUUUAUUACUUGAAAAUGUUAUGUUGUGUUAUCUUGAUUGGCUUGGAAGGAUAAGACUCUUACAUAACUUUUUCUUUUCUCUUUCUUUCUUUGUAUGAACCCGCCCCGAGUCCAUAAUGGAUUUCUUCCAUUGCAUUCUCUUGUUGAGCCGUAAAUGCUCAAACCUCGGGAAGGAGCGGUAAAGAAGUAAGGAGGUUGACUAGUUCUUAGCUUGAUUGAACUCAGCAUAGUUAGAGAUUAGAGGAGAUAGCCUUUCUUUCUAUUGCUUGAGUGGAAUCAGUACUCUCGAGUCGUCCAGCCUUUCAAAAAUUGGUAAAUUGAUGUACAAGUCAAAGAGCAGGUUGAAAUGCACUGCUGGAAAUUAAUUGCAGGUUCAUCAAAACCUGGAAAGGGGGCUGUAAAUCAUGUUUGCAGGUGUUGAAAAAGUUGUGUACCGUCUUUAUACAUAUUGUAUAUACACUUAUAUACAGAUCAAAGACGUACAGGAGAACAAAAUUUGAAAUAUGGGUUGAUAGCAGUGAAAUAUGUUGUUGUAAAGGAGCUUUCAACUUUUGAAAGUUGAAAAACAGGCCGAUAUACAACCUGUAUACACUGAUAUACAUACGCGAUAUACCAUAAAGAGGUGUAAGAAAUACGAAUUACAGGUUUAACGUACAUGGAAGCCAAAUUCAAGUAAAAUACAAGAAUAGUGAAUGAAUACGUGCAUAGGAUAUAUCCCGUAUACAUUGGUAUACAUCCUUUGGGCAGUGAUAUACAGUAAUAAAAAUGGUACAGGUACAAAUACGCCGAAAUAAUAUGGGAAAUACAGGUGGAAUCGUGAGAAAUCGUAUUUGAACAAAUAUACAGGAUUAAAAAGUAUAAUAUGGAUCGUAUAUAUACCAUAUACAACAGUAUACAUCCUGUGUACACUCCCUAUUUCUUUUUUCAGGGGAAAUGGGCCAAGGCCCUUCAGCUAAAUUUUAAUAGGCCCAAAGGCCAAAAUUUUCUUCAGGGUUUGAAUUAUUGGAUAAGGGCACAAGUCCACAUUUUGAAUAAUUUAGUCUAGGGCAGGUGGGCUAAAAGUCCAAAUUGAAUGAAUUUGGACAAUUAGCCCAAGUUCAAAUAUUCUUUCCUCUCUCCCUUUUAUUUAUCAUAUGAUUGGAUUGACUAAUAUUUUGGUGGAAUUUUAUUAAUUUCCUAAAAGAUAGUCAUUUCUUACUAUAUUUAUUUAAUCAUAAAAUUUUACUACUAUUUUAUUUAUUUAUUUUGUUUUAUCGACUUUUGUCACCAUUUAGUUUAUUCCUUAGGUUAAUUUCCUCUAAAUGUGUCCUUUAGAAAAUAAUGAUAAAUAAAAUUGUUAAAAUAUAUAUAUAAAAAAAAACGAAUUUCUCUUAGUUAAAAUUUUAUAAUUUAUUUUAAAGGUUAUUUAAUCAUCGUCGGUCAACACCUUUUCGGGAUGUACAUUUGAACUUCUAACCUUUUUCAAUCGAUUUUUAUCUGUUUUUGAAUCUUUUGAAAAUAAAUUUUAAUUUUUUCUUGAUUUUAUCAAAAAUAAAAUGGCGACUCCGUAAUUUGGAAAGUCAAUUUUUCUUAAAUAAGAAGAUUAAUUGAUUUUCCAAAACUUAGUCAUUUUUCACUAUUUUUAACCAAAUAAUAAUAUUUUUCAGAUAAAACACUAAGUCUACUCAUAUACUUUAUUUGGUAACACAAUUACGCUCCCGAGCCAUAAGAUACCAGAGAUGCGGCAACGAUUCUAGGAAGGAUCCUAUAAUAGCACAUGUCUUAGGAUGAGAAGGAUUAAUAGUGAGGCCGGAAAGCGUUUCUACUGGAACAUAUGAAUCCAUAUGGAAAGGGAGAUAAGAGGUCAAGGAAGGAUCAAUCACCUUGGUUCAUGAUAUGGAUAAGGCCCCAACACUUUUGAAGACAUGGUAUGAAAGCAUGAUAAAUCAUGGGAAAGGAAUGAUGUUCAAACACUUAGGAUUUCUACGAAGACUUUUGUAUGUUGAGUCACGACGAGACUUGAUAGAAACACUAGUACAUUUUUGGGACCCAUUAAAAGUGUAUUUAAUUUUUCUGGCUUUGAACUCACCCCCACACUAGAAGAGAUAGGGGAAUUCAUAGGAUUGGGUAAAAAUCUUCACAUAGAAGAGCCGAUACCAAAACAUAUUAAUGGGAGGAUAUUUUAAGAGUUACUUUACAUAAAUGAGAAUGAUAUGGCAGAAAGGAUGGAUUCAUGGUAUAUGGAAAGAAACUUCUUAAUAAUGGGUGUCAUUUGAACUGGAAAGCACACAGUUAUGAUGCCUU